UUAGUUAAAAGCUGCUUUAAUUUUAGGUCUCCAAUGGUAGUUUACUAUUUUGGGGUUCUUAAAAAAAAUAAGGAUACAGAGAAGAAAACAACACAAUUUUUUCUUCUUCCUUGACUACAACAAUACAAGCUUCAGUCCCUACAAAAAUACAAAGAAUAUUGACAUGAGACAGAGAUUGUGUGCUUCACUCCCGUGACACUGAGCUUCCUCCACUGAGACAACAUGAGACUGAGCUUGUCCGUGACUACCACACACGAGAAGAUCACAAGACUACAAUGCUACACUCCUACAAAACCAAGACAAGAACAUUAAUAACCACAGUUUUUAUAUCACCAAUAAAGAAGGCAAGAAGAUGCGACAGAGAACACAAGAACACUCUAUUAUAUACCAACAAGAUGAGACAGAGAACACAAGCUGACACAAACAUAAGCAUUUAUAUAAGCCAUACGAAGAACAAGUAACAGAGCAGUAUCAAUUACAAUGAUAAGCUUGGAAAAGUGAAACUACAUUGGAAAAUAAUGAAAACAUAGUAGUAUCAAUUACAAUGCCAAGAACGAAAGCAAAAGAAAGUAACUUUUACACAAACAUCAUCAUAACCAAGUGAUCAAAGCACAACAAACUUUAGACUCAAAAACAAAACACUUUAUAUCGUUUACACGAUGACAAUGGCAUGAUGAGAGAUACGAAGAUCAUCCUAAAGAAAAAAAAACCUAUCAUCAUCAUCAUCAGCAUUAUACAAUCAUAUCAAAACCAAAAAUACCAUCAUACACAAUUAUAUGGAAACAGAGGAAAAGUUUGAAAUUGGUUUACCUUCUUUUUUGUAAAAAAAAAAGGGUUUUCAGAAUCUGUGAAGAGUUCGGAGGAUCCGAUGAGUUUGUUUUUACGGGUGGGAAGAAGCUGGAUCGAAGAAAUCCGAUGGGGCGAUUCUGCAUGGGUUAUUACGAAUCGAGCCAUCAACAGAGAUGAGUGUAGCAGAGACGACGAUUUGGUGAACCAUGCAGUCGGUUUCGAUCGGCAGUCAGUUUCGAUUUCAACCCUUCGUUCGGAGAACGCGAGAGACGCAAAAGAAAAUACAGAAACAUUUUACUUUGCCUCAUGUGCUGACACGUGGGUGAAAAACCCUUCUAAAUAAUCG
rnacentral:lncRNA from 1 species